rnacentral:lncRNA from 1 species
UGGUGAGAAAGAGAAGAGGGUUCUCCUCUUUAAAUAGAGCCGUAGGGGGCUCUUUUCGACUCCGAUUGGGAGCCGGUGAGAGGAGGAAGAAGACUCUCUUUGGGAGUCUUCUCCUCUGUUCUCUUUUUUUUCGUUUGGGCUUUGUGGGCUGGUUUUGGGCCCAAUUGGACCGGGUUAUCACAUGGUCAUUCAAAUAUAAAAAAAUGAGUCCAUAAGAAAGCCCAUCUUAUUUAUAAAUGAAUUGGUUUUGAUAAUAGAUUUAAUUUUUGUGACUCAUUAGAUUAGUGCAUGCAUGCCAAACCGACUCUUCUAUGGAUAAUUGGCUCUUUAUCUAUUUGCAUCACAAGACUCCUAUCAAUCGAUGUUCUCAUAGCUUGUGAUGGCCAUUACAAACUUUAAAGAUAAUUAUCAACAAAUUACCGUUAUUGAAUAUAAUCGUCAACAAAUUACUCUUUCAGUUGUUGUUUCAAGAGCUGGUGAUAAGUUACCUGCAUGUGGGAGUCCAUCACUGCUAUCAAUGAUUUGGGGUGUUGUAGAAGAGUAAACUCUGGCUGUCACACACC